GCGGGGGUAGCCAAGCCAGGUCAACGGCGCCAGACUUCUUCUCAGGAGUUCGGGGGUUCGAAUCCCCUCCCCCGC
rnacentral:tRNA from 1 species